GAUGAACGCUGGCGGCGUGCCUAAUACAUGCAAGUCGAGCGAACGGACGAGAAGCUUGCUUCUCUGAUGUUAGCGGCGGACGGGUGAGUAACACGUGGAUAACCUACCUAUAAGACUGGGAUAACUUCGGGAAACCGGAGCUAAUACCGGAUGAUAUUUUGAACCGCAUGGUUCAAAAGUGAAAGACGGUCUUGCUGUCACUUAUAGAUGGAUCCGCGCUGCAUUAGCUAGUUGGUAAGGUAACGGCUUACCAAGGCGACGAUGCAUAGCCGACCUGAGAGGGUGAUCGGCCACACUGGAACUGAGACACGGUCCAGACUCCUACGGGAGGCAGCAGUAGGGAAUCUUCCGCAAUGGGCGAAAGCCUGACGGAGCAACGCCGCGUGAGUGAUGAUGGUCUUCGGAUCGUAAAACUCUGUUAUUAGGGAAGAACAUAUGUGUAAGUAACUGUGCACAUCUUGACGGUACCUAAUCAGAAAGCCACGGCUAACUACGUG
rnacentral:rRNA from 1 species